rnacentral:tRNA from 1 species
ACACCCAGCUGGCAGACAAAUGCAAUAGAUUUAGAUUCUAACCAUCAAAAC